ACACCUCAACUCUCAUGGCUUGCCAUGAUGAGCUUGGACUUUUGGGGGUCUUGCUGGCCUGGGGUCAGCUCCUCUCAAAUGAAUUAGCUUGCCAGUGUUUGGUGGCAUCGCAGGUGUGAUAACUAUCUACGCUUGUGGUUUUCCACCAGGUAACCUUCUGCAACGAAGGUUCGCUGGGGCUCAUAAAUGUCUCUCCUCGGCGAGGACAGCUCUCUGAAC
rnacentral:misc_RNA from 1 species